CUGGGGCUAGGCUUGGCGAUGAGUGGCUGGCGGGAGUGAUUGGCUGGUGGAAGGAGCCGUUGCAGAUGUCGCCUUCAGGUUCAGCAGAGAGCUCCUUCUGAGGUUUGGAUAAGCUGUGGAGCCUUCUCAAAGACAGAGUAAUUGGCGCUGGCAGAUCUCAGCAAUUCUUCCUGACUCUUUAUGCAAGUCCCUCUUGGAAACAUUGUGGAUCACCAUUUCCAGAUCUGUUUCAUGCUGCAUAUACCACCAACAUGUCGGGCCCUCUCCAGUUUUUAAACCAUUCCAUUCCAGGAAGGCUUGCUACUGGUGAGAGCAAAAGCCCCCAGGAGGUUAAGCUCUCAGAAGAGAAAUAUUCAUCAGCUCACACGUCUCUGAAAAAUAACUCAGUGGCUUGUUUUGAUCCAUCUCUUGAAGUCCUUCCUACCAGGCACCAAAUCAUGUCCCACAAAAGGGAAGCUGACACAAUCCAUCCUGACCUUGCUGGUUUGUUGGUGAAAAACAAGAAUCUGUUAGCCGAGAACUGGGGUGCAGGCUACAGAUGCAGAGACCAAUGCAGAGACCGUGACAGGAUUCACCAGAGACAGAGCGGGAAGCAGAACAGGCAGACUGACAAA